UACAGAGGGUGCAAGCGUUGUUCGGAAUUAUUGGGCGUAAAGAGCUCGUAGGCGGUUCGUCGCGUCGGCUGUGAAAUCCCCGGAGCUCAACUCCGGGUCUGCAGUCGAUACGGGCGGACUUGAGUACUGCAGGGGAGACUGGAAUUCCUGGUGUAGCGGUGAAAUGCGCAGAUAUCAGGAGGAACACCGGUGGCGAAGGCGGGUCUCUGGGCAGUAACUGACGCUGAGGAGCGAAAGCGUGGGGAGCGAACAGG
rnacentral:rRNA from 1 species